GAUGAACGCUGGCGGCGUGCCUAAUACAUGCAAGUCGAGCGAACGGACGAGAAGCCUGCUUCUCUGAUGUUAGCGGCGGACGGGUGAGUAACACGUGGAUAACCUACCUAUAAGACUGGGAUAACUUCGGGAAACCGGAGCUAAUACCGGAUAAUAUUUUGAACCGCAUGGUUCAAAAGUGAAAGACGGUCUUGCUGUCACUUAUAGAUGGAUCCGCGCUGCAUUAGCUAGUUGGUAAGGUAACGGCUUACCAAGGCAACGAUGCAUAGCCGACCUGAGAGGGUGAUCUGCCACACUGGAACUGAGACACGGUCCAGACUCCUACGGGAGGCAGCAGUAGGGAAUCUUCCGCAAUGGGCGAAAGCCUGACGGAGCAACGCCGCGUGAGUGAUGAAGGUCUUCGGAUCGUAAAACUCUGUUAUUAGGGAAGAACAUAUGUGUAAGUAACUGUGCACAUCUUGACGGUACCUAAUCAGAAAGCCACGGCUAACUACGUG
rnacentral:rRNA from 1 species